rnacentral:rRNA from 1 species
GGUGAACGCUGGCGGCGUGCCUAAUACAUGCAAGUCGAGCGAACGGACGAGAAGCUUUCUUCUCUGAUGUUAGCGGCGGACGGGUGAGUAACACAUGGAUCACCUUCCUAUAAGACUGGGAUAACUUCGGGAAACCGUAGCUAAUACCGGAUAAUAUUUUGAACCGCAUGGAUCAAAAGUGAAAGACGGUCUUGCUGUCACUUAUAGAUGGAUCCGCGCUGGAUUAGCUAGUUGGUAAGGUAACGGCUUACCAAGGCAACGAUGCAUAGCCGACCUGAGAGGGUGAUCAGCCACACUGGAACUGAGACACGGUCCAGACUCCUACGGGAGGCAGCAGUGGGGAAUCUUCCGCAAUGGGCGAAAGCCUGACGGAGCAACGCCGCGUGAGUGAUGAAGGUCUUCGGAUCGUAAAACUCUGUUAUUAGGGAAGAACAUAUGUGUAAGUAACUGUGCACAUCUUGACGGUACCUAAUCAGAAAGCCACGGCUAACUACGUG